CUCAGGGAGGUAGUGACAAGAAAUAACAACACUGGUAAUUUUAUUUCUAGUGAUUGGAAUGAUGGGAAUUUAAACCCCUUUCAGAGUAACAAUUGGAGGGCAAGUCUGGUGCCGGCAGCCGCGGUAAUUCCAGCUCCAAUAGCGUAUAUUAAAGUUGUUGCAGUUAAAAAGCUCGUAGUUGGAUGUCUGCUGGAAGCAAUCAGUCCACCCUAUUUGUAGGGUGUGCACUUGAUGAAUUCUGGCAUCUAUGUCCCGAUAAGAGAACGGGCGUGUCACAUUAGCUGUUGGGCGAAAGCUCAAGAGCGUGUGUGCGUCCGUUCAUUGGGAUAAUACUGUUACUUUGAGAAAAUUAGAGUGUCUGAAGCAGGCUAAUUGCCUUGAAUACUGCAGCAUGGAAUAACAAUAUAGGAUUUCGGUUCUAUUUUGUUGGUUUCUAGGACUGAAAUAAUGAUUAAUAGGGACAGUUGGGGGCAUUCGUAUUUAACUGUCAGAGGUGAAAUUCUUAGAUUUGUUAAAGACGAACUACUGCGAAAGCAUUUGCCAAAGAUGUUUUCAUUAAUCAAGAACGAAAGUUAGGGGCUCGAAGACGAUCAGAUACCGUCGUAGUCUUAACCAUAAACUAUGCCGACUAGAGAUAGGAAAAUGUCAUUUUGCUGACUU
rnacentral:rRNA from 1 species